rnacentral:lncRNA from 1 species
AGAAACAUUAAGAUUAAAUCAUUUUUAUUGACGUUGUGUUGUGUUUGCUAGAGAUGGCUAAACUUACUUUAGUGCAUAUUUGCGCCCUUUUCCUUUUGCUUGCAGGUUUAUUCUAGAUAGUGUAACAAUAUCUACUUUCUUGAUAUUUAUCUAUGUAUGAUUUGCUAAACUUAUCAUCGUUUAAUCACCAAUGCUAUUUGUAUAAUUGAUGGGACACUUUGGUUUUUAUAUCACAUAAUAAGAGUACAUUGUUUUAUAAAAUAAAAAGUUUUGUGACAUAUUAAAUUAAAAUUUGAUGAGAGUUACAUGCCUAAAAUUAUAACUCUUUAUUGUGGUUUUUUUGAAAUUUCAGGUAUUGUCAUCACAAGUGAAGCAAAAAGAAAUGAGUUUUGUCAAAAAAUUACAACAACGAUACCUACAAGUGGUUGCAUUACUACAGCAUGUCAUAGAAAAUGUGAAAGUAUGUUUAGUAAUUCUUGUGAUAUACGAGGACGUUGCAAAUCAAGCGAUUGCAUAUGUACUUAUUGUGGCUGAUAUGUUUGUACCUUCUUAAUUAAAGAAUGAAUAAAAACCGAU